CCCCGCAACCCCCCUUCACUCUCUUCACCUCCCCUCCCUUCAACCUCCUCCUUCCUCUCACCUGUAACCCAACCCUUUUCAACCUCCUCCUUCCCUUCACCUGCAACCCAACCCCUAAACCCCCUAAACCACCCCACCCCACCCUACCCAAAACAACCAAUAGCUAGAGAUGGGAAAAUGUGGCAGCCACAUCCCCUACACACCAUUGUCGUCGUCCCACACGAUCUGAGAUAGAUAACCCAGAAGAAAAAAAAGGCAAAAAUGGAACCUAUUGCCCAUCCCCUACACACCAUUGCUGCCAUCCCACCUAAUCCCGGCGACCUCCUUCUCUCACUCUAACCUCGGAAGCUUGCCAUGAAGUGACACCCAGAUAAAAACCUUAACAACAAGAAGGUCGCUGAGGCCAAAUUCAAGCAAAUCUCGGAAGCCUACGAUAUGAAAAUUGACUUCAAUUGGGAGAUGAAGACGAUGACUGACCAAGUGGUGAUGGAAGAGCAUGAAGAGAAAGGAAGUUCUGGGGAUAGGGAAGACAUGGGUUUGGGUGAAUGCGGCUGGGAUGGGGAAGACAACUGUUUUAGUUUUUGGGUUUAUUUUUUUAUUUUUAUAAUAUAUUGUUUUAAUAUUUAA